rnacentral:rRNA from 1 species
GCCAAAAACCCAGCCCAUUCACCCCAUACUUAACCCCAUACUUCAUUCCCCCCCCCAAAACAUUCUCACAUCUUAGUAAAGGCGAUUAAAAAGAAAUUAGGAGCUUUAUAUUCAGUACCGCAAGGGAAGAGUGAAAUAAUAAUGAAAUACUAUUAAGCACAACAAAGCAAAGAUUUAACCUUGUACCUUUUGCAUCAUGGUCUUACAAGUCCAAUCAAGCAAAAUGAACCUUAAGUUUGCCCCCCCGAAACUAGACGAGCUACUUCAAAACAACCCAUCGAGCCAACCCGUCUCUGUUGCAAAAGAGUGGGAAGAUUUUCAAGUAGAGGUGAUAAACCUAUCGAGCCUAGAGAUAGCUGGUUACUCAGAAAAAAGGAUGUUAGUCCUACCUUAAACAUUUUUAUUAAACUUAUAAUACAUCAACAGAUUUAAAGAGCUAUUCAAUAAGGGUACAGCUUUAUUUUGAAAUAGGAUACACCCUACUCUACAGGGUAUUGGAAACUAACAUGACUAGUUGGCCUACAAGGAGCCAAAGAAAUAGACUUCUCCAACAAUGUAAGUGUAAGCCAAAAUGAACCAAUCAUUGGCACUCACCGUUCAUGAGCAUAAAGUAAUAACACAACACGAAAACCCUACUAACCCAAACGUUAACCUUACACUAGAACUUUUCAGGAAAGAUUAAAAAACAUGGAAGGAACUCGGCAAAUAAUAACCCCGCCUGUUUACCAAAAACAUCGCCUCCCGUCACUCAUGGGAGGUCCAGCCUGCCCAGUGAAUUAUAUUAAACGGCCGCGGUACCCUAACCGUGCAAAGGUAGCACAAUCACUUGUUCUUUAAAUAAGGACUAGUAUGAACGGCAUUACGAGGGUUACACUGUCUCCCCUGUUCAAUCAGUGAAACUAAUCCCCCCGUGAAGAAGCGGGGAUACUUUUAUAAGACGAGAAGACCCCAUGGAGCUUAAAACUCAGUAUCACUUGCAUUAUUACACCACAUGAACUGGCAAACCUGACUACUAGUUUUUGGUUGGGGUGACCGCGGAGCAAAAUAAAACCUCCACGACGAAUGGAACUAACUUCUAAUCAAAGAGCUACAACUCGCAGAAUCAACAUAUUGACUAAAAUUGACCCAAUAAUUUUGAACAACGAACCAAGUUACCCUGGGGAUAACAGCGCAAUCCAUUUCAAGAGCCCCUAUCGACAAAUGGGUUUACGACCUCGAUGUUGGAUCAGGGUGUCCAAGUGGUGCAGCCACUACUGAAGGUUCGUUUGUUCAACGAUUAAA